GACGAACGCUGGCGGCGUGCUUAACAUAUGCAAGUCGAACGGAAAGGCCCUGCUUUUGUGGGGUGCUCGAGUGGCGAACGGGUGAGUAACACGUGAGUAACCUGCCCUUGACUUUGGGAUAACCUCAGGAAACUGGGGCUAAUACCGGAUAGGAGCUCCUGCUGCAUGGUGUGGGUUGGAAAGUUUCGGCGGUUGGGGAUGGACUCGCGGCUUAUCAGCUUGUUGGUGGGGUAGUGGCUUACCAAGGCUUUGACGGGUAGCCGGCCUGAGAGGGUGACCGGCCACAUUGGGACUGAGAUACGGCCCAGACUCCUACGGGAGGCAGCAGUGGGGAAUAUUGCACAAUGGGCGGAAGCCUGAUGCAGCAACGCCGCGUGCGGGAUGACGGCCUUCGGGUUGUAAACCGCUUUCGCCUGUGACGAAGCGUGAGUGACGGUAAUGGGUAAAGAAGCACCGGCUAACUACGUG
rnacentral:rRNA from 1 species